CGUAGGGUGCAAGCGUUAAUCGGAAUUACUGGGCGUAAAGCGUGCGCAGGCGGUUGUGCAAGACAGGUGUGAAAUCCCCGGGCUUAACCUGGGAACUGCACUUGUGACUGCACGGCUGGAGUACGGCAGAGGGGGAUGGAAUUCCGCGUGUAGCAGUGAAAUGCGUAGAUAUGCGGAGGAACACCGAUGGCGAAGGCAGUCCCCUGGGCCUGUACUGACGCUCAUGCACGAAAGCGUGGGGAGCAAACAGGAUUAGAUACCCAGGUAGUCCACGCCCUAAACGAUGUCAACUGGUUGUUGGGAAGGUUUCUUCUCAGUAACGUAGCUAACGCGUGAAGUUGACCGCCUGGGGAGUACGGCCGCAAGGUUG
rnacentral:rRNA from 1 species